rnacentral:lncRNA from 1 species
ACUUACAUUGAGUCUAUAUCUUGGCUAUUAUGAAUAGCACUGCAAUAAACAUGGGGUACAGAUAUCUCUUACACACUACUUUUAUUUUUAUAUACAUUCCAAGUAGUAGGAUUGUUGGGUCAUAUGGCAGUUCCAUUUUUAAUCUUUUCAGGAACCUCCAUACUGUUGUCCAGAUGGCUGUACUAAUUUACAUUCCCACUAACAGUAUAUGAGCUCCCAUUUCAUCUUAUCUUUCCUUCUUUCCUCUUCUUCUUUAUUAUUAUUAUUUUUUUUUCUAAGACAGGGUCUCUCUCUGUCUCCCAGGAUGAAGUGCAGUGUUGUGAUCAUGGCUCACUGCAGCCUCAACCUCUCAGGCUCAAUCGAUCCUCCCACCUCAGCCUCCCAAAUAGUGGAGACUGCAGGCAUGCGU